rnacentral:rRNA from 1 species
UACGAGGGGUGCGAGCGUUAUUCGGAAUCAUUAGGGCGUAAAGGGUGCGUAGACGGCUUAUUAAGUCAACUGUUUAAUUCUCCGGCCUAACUGGAGGUCAGCGGUAGAAACUGGUAUGCUUGAGGUUGGAAGAGAGGAGUGGAGUUCUCGGAGUAGCGGUAAAAUGCGUAGAUCUCGAGAGGAACACCGAUGGCGAAGGCAGCUCCUUGGUCCAAAUCUGACGUUGAGGCACGAAAGCGUGGGGAGCAAACAGG